GCGUCAUCCUGACCAUGGGCGGUGUUGGCGGGCGGUGCAAAAACGGACUGCCGGCCCAGGUCGGCUCACAGGGGAAGCACCGCAACACACAGAUUCUCCCACCUGCGCUGCGGAUCCCUGCAGGCCCUCUGCAGUUAUUAUCGGCAAACUGAGUUUACCCACGCAACAGCCCUGGAUUUUCUUCAAGUACCAAUCAAAGAAUCGUUUCAUGCUUUCGCUGCAUCACCUUUUGGCCAUUUUGGACAUUGACAGACCGGCUCUGUUUUGUAUGUUGAUAACCUAUAAGUUUAUCAACAUAUCCUGCAGCUAGCGGCAGAAAGUCAUAAGGUAUUUCAGCUUUUUGUGCAAAGCUGCCACUGCAAACUACAGCAUGCAGCCCUGAUGCAAACCGAGGCAAAGCGACGCUCCUACUUCACAUUCUGUGUUAAAGUCUGCAAGGCUGCAGCUAUAAUCUGCUUAUCCCAGCACAACUGCAAGGAUCGUGCUCUGCUGCCUUCAUGAUAUCCAAAGGGAUCGACCCUUUAACAUACUUGCUGCUUAGAAGAUUAACAAGUCGGCAUGGGAAGCCGUCCCGAGGGUCAGGCGUAUAAUCUGAGGACCUGUUGGAGAAACCGUGCAGUGGGCCGAGCUUCACAUCAAGCAGCGCAACAGUAACUUGGUGUCUUUGGCUCUGAGUCUAUGAAUCACAAAUAUAAUCCAUCUUUUUUUCCCCCCUUUCAGAAAUGUCCACAUAUAUUUCCACAAAGUCUAAAUAAAGAAAGAGCAUAUAUCAUUUCA